GAUGAACGCUGGCGGCGUGCUUAACACAUGCAAGUCGAACGAGAAGUGAAGACGGAAACCUUCGGGCGGAAGGCUUUAUUUCGAGUGGCGGACGGGUGAGUAACGCGUGGGUAACCUGGCUCAUACAGGGGGAUAACAGUUGGAAACGACUGUUAAUACCGCAUAAGACCACAGCACCGCAUGGUGCGGGGGUAAAAACUCCGGUGGGAUGAGAUGGACUCGCGUUCGAUUAGCCAGUUGGCGGGGUAACGGCCCACCACAGCGACGAUCGAUAGCCGAUCUGAGAGGAUGACCGGCCACAUUGGGACUGAGACGCGGUCCAAACUCCUACGGGAGGCAGCAGUGGGGAAUAUUGCACAAUGGGGGAAACCCUGAUGCAGCGACGCCGCGUGAGUGAAGAAGUAGUUCGGUAUGUAAAGCUCUAUCAGCAGGGAAGGAAAUGACGGUACCUGAGUAAGAAGCCCCGGCUAACUACGUG
rnacentral:rRNA from 1 species